rnacentral:rRNA from 1 species
AAAAAGUUUUUUUUACAUUAAAUGAAUUCCUAAAUAUCAAAAAUUUAAAUGGACAUUUAAUUAUGAAAUGUUAUAAGAAGUGAAAUGCUAAGACUUAUAAUUUUCCAUAUUUGGAAAAUCAAUUUUUAUUUGAUUAAAAUUUACUUUAAUUAUAUAUUAGAGUAUUAAAAUUUAGUAAAUUGAAUCAUCUAGGGUAACUAUAAUAAAAAAAUCAAUCGAGAUGUCGUAAUUAGUGGCGAGCGAAAGCGAUAAAAGUUAUAAAAAAAUAAAUUUUUGUUUAAUAUAAAUUAUAUAACCAUAGAAGGUAAGUCCUGUAAAUUUAAAAAUUUAUUUUUUUAUGAGUAAAGUGGUACAAGUUGUGUAUUUCUUGAAAAGUGAGGAACCAUCCUCAAAAACUAAGAUUUUUGAUAUUUGAUAGUGUAAUAGUACUGUGAAGGAAAGGUUAAAAAGAAAAGGUACGAUGCUAAAAAGUAUUUGUAAUAAUGACGAUUGAAAAGAUAAUGAAAUUUAAUGUUAAAUAGCAGUUUUAGCUUAUAUUAAAGUGAUAACGUACUUUUUGUAUAAAGGAUCAACAAGUUUAUUUUAGUAGCGAGCUUAAGUAAUUAUAACAUUAUGUAGGCUAAAAAAAAUUAAGUUUUAAAAUGCUGAAUUAGUUUUCUAAAAUAAAACCCGAAACUAAAGUGAGCUAACCACAAACAGGUUGAAUUUGAUGCGGUGACAGCUCAUUGGAGGACCGAACUCGUGUAUGUGGCAAUAUACUGAGAUGAUUUGUGGUUAGGGGUGAAAGGCCAAUCAAACUUAGAGAUAGCUGGUUUUCUGCGAAAUCUAUUUUAGUAGAACGUUUAAAUUCUUUAUUUUAAGGUAGAGCACUUGAUAAGUGAUGGGGAUGAAAAUCUUACUGAGCUUAUUAAAACUCCAAAUGUAAUAUAAAAGAUUUUAAGCAGACAGACUAAGAGUGCUAAGAUUCUUAGUCAAAAGGAAAACAGUCCAGACUAAUAAUUAAGGUUUUAAAAAAUAAUUAAGUGACAAAAAUGUUAUAAGAUAUUUAAAAUUAUUAGGUAGGCUUAGAAGCAGCUAACCUUUUAAAAAAUCGUAACAGAUUAUUAGUUGAGUUUUAUUGCAUUAAAAAUUUAUUGAGACUUAAAUUAUUUACCGAAAUUGUAGAUUUAAAUAAUAAGUGUUUAAAUAGUAGCAGAACGUUCUGUAAAUUGAAAAAGAUUUAUGGUAACAUAGAUUGAAGAUAUCAGAAGUGAGAAUGUUGAUAUGAGUAGUGUUUAAUAAUGUGAAAAACAUUAUCACCUUAAGUUUUAGGUUUCCAAAGUAAAGUUAAUCUGCUUUGGUAAAAAUUAAUCGGUCUCUAAAAAAAUAGCGAAAGCUUUUAUUGAUGAGUAAAAAAAUGUAUUUUUUUAUUUUUUUAAAGUGACAAAAUAUAAAUAUUAUUUUUAUUUAAUGGAUUAAUAAAAGUUUUAUAGUAUUUUCUGGAAAUAGCUUUAAAAAAUUGAAACCGUACUACAAACCGACACAGGUAAAUAGAUUUAGUAAAUUAAGGUGUUUGAGUUAAUUGUAUUGAAGGAACUCGGCAAAAUGACUCCGUAACUUCGGAAUAAGGAGUAACUAUAUUAAGAGAUUUCUUUUUAUUAGUUGUCACAAAAGCGAGGACAGCGACUGUUUAUCAAAAACACAGGUCUCUGCUAAUUUGUAAAAAGAUGUAUUGAGGCUGACGCCUGCCCAGUGCUGUAAGAUUAAAGAAAAAAGUUAUUUAGCUUUGAUCCUAAUCCCCAGUAAACGGCGGCUGUAACUCUGACGGUCCUAAGGUAGCGAAAUUCAUUGGCAUUUAAUUGGUGUCCUGCAUAAAUGGCGUAACGACUGUCCUACUGUCUCCAAUACAAGCUCAAUGAAAUUGGAUUUUCCGUGAAGAUACGGAAUUCUAACGGCAAGACGGAAAGACCCCGGCACCUUUACUAUAGUUAUAUAUUGUAUUACAAAUUGUUAUGUGUAGUAUAAGUGGUAGUUGUUGUUUAUAUUUAAUAUAAAUAUUUGCACAAGCAAAUAAUUUAAACAUUUUGUGAAAUACCACUCUUGGUAAUUUUUAAGACUAAUUGUUAAAUAGUGUAUAAUGGGUAGUUUUCCUGGGGCGGGAACCUCCAAAAAAGUAACGGGGGUGUGCAUAAGGUAAGUUUAUAUUGGGGUAGAUUUUCAAUAUAUACGUAUAAUAAUAAAUACUUACUUGAUUGUAAGAUUGACAAAUCGAACAAGAACGAAAGUUGGUUAUAGUGAUCCGAUGAUUCUAAAUGGAAAGGUUAUCGCUCAACGAAUAAAAGGUACGCCGGGGAUAACAGGCUAAUCAUUCUCUAGAGACCAUAUCGACGGAAUGGUUUGGCACCUCGAUGUUGGAUUAUCACAUCCUGGAGCUGUAAGUGGUUCCAAGGGUUUGGCUGUUCGCCAAGUAAGGUGGUACAUGAUCUGAGUUCAGAACGAUGUGAAUCAGUUUGGACCCUAUCUACCGUUAGUGUUGAAAACUAAAAGGAUUAGAUUCUAGUACGAGAGGACCGAAAAAAGUGAAUCUAUGGUGUAUCGAUUGUUUUACCAAUAGUAUAGUCGAAUAGCUAAAUUCAUAUUAACUAAUUACUGAAUGCAUAUAAGUAAGAAAUUAACCUUGAAAAUAGUUUUUAAAAAAAUGUAAAAGAUUAUUGCAUCGAUAGGCUUGAAGCAUAAGAGUUGUAAAAUUUUUCGCUAACAAGUACUAAAUUUUUUAUUAUUUAAAACU